GACGAACGCUGGCGGCGUGCCUAAUACAUGCAAGUCGAGCGAAUGGAUUAAGAGCUUGCUCUUAUGAAGUUAGCGGCGGACGGGUGAGUAACACGUGGGUAACCUGCCCAUAAGACUGGGAUAACUCCGGGAAACCGGGGCUAAUACCGGAUAACAUUUUGAACCGCAUGGUCCGAAAUUGAAAGGCGGCUUCGGCUGUCACUUAUGGAUGGACCCGCGUCGCAUUAGCUAGUUGGUGAGGUAACGGCUCACCAAGGCAACGAUGCGUAGCCGACCUGAGAGGGUGGUCGGCCACACUGGGACUGAGACACGGCCCAGACUCCUACGGGAGGCAGCAGUAGGGAAUCUUCCGCAAUGGACGAAAGUCUGACGGAGCACCGCCGCGUGAGUGAUGAAGGCUUUCGGGUCGUAAAACUCUGUUGUUAGGGAAGAACAAGUGCUAGUUGAAUAAGCUGGCACCUUGACGGUACCUAACCAGAAAGCCACGGCUAACUACGUGCCAGCCGCCGCGGUAA
rnacentral:rRNA from 1 species